rnacentral:rRNA from 1 species
AUUGUGUGAAUACAUAGCACAUUCGAGGUAGACGCAGAGAACUGAAACAUCUAAGUACCUGCAGGAAGAGAAAGAAAAUUCGAUUCCCUGAGUAGCGGCGAGCGAAACGGGAAAAGCCCAAACCAGCAAGCUUGCUUGUUGGGGUUGUAGGACUCCAAUAUGGUAGUUCUUUCAGAUAGUCGAAUGACUUGGAAAAGUCAGUCAAAGAGGGUAAAAACCCCGUAGACGAAAUGUGGAAGACACCUAGGAGGAUCCUGAGUACGGCGGAACACGAGAAAUUCCGUCGGAAUCCGGGAGGACCAUCUCCCAAGGCUAAAUACUCCCUAGUGACCGAUAGUGAACCAGUACCGUGAGGGAAAGGUGAAAAGCACCCCGGAAGGGGAGUGAAAUAGAACCUGAAACCGUGUGCCUACAACAAGUCAAAGCCCGUUAAUGGGUGAUGGCGUGCCUUUUGUAGAAUGAACCGGCGAGUUACGAUUGCAUGCGAGGUUAAGUUGAAGAGACGGAGCCGCAGCGAAAGCGAGUCUGAAUAGGGCGUUUGAGUAUGUAGUCGUAGACCCGAAACCAUGUGAUCUACCCAUGUCCAGGUUGAAGGUGCGGUAAAACGCACUGGAGGACCGAAC